GACGAACGCUGGCGGCGUGCUUAACACAUGCAAGUCGAACGGUGAAGCGCCUUCCUUUUUGGUGGGUGUGGAUGAGUGGCGAACGGGUGAGUAACACGUGAGUAACCUGCCCCCUUCUUCUGGAUAACCGCAUGAAAGUGUGGCUAAUACGGGAUAUUCUGGGUCUGUCGCAUGAUGGGUCUGGGAAAGAUAUUGUUUCGGUGGGGGAUGGGCUCGCGGCCUAUCAGCUUGUUGGUGGGGUGAUGGCCUACCAAGGCGGUGACGGGUAGCCGGCCUGAGAGGGUGGACGGUCACGCUGGGACUGAGACACGGCCCAGACUCCUACGGGAGGCAGCAGUGGGGAAUAGUGCACAAUGGGCGCAAGCCUGAUGCAGCGACGCCGCGUGAGGGAUGGAGGCCUUCGGGUUGUGAACCUCUUUCGCCAGUGAAGCAGGCCUGCCUCGUUUGUGGGUGGGUUGACGGUAGCUGGAUAAGAAGCGCCGGCUAACUACGUG
rnacentral:rRNA from 1 species